rnacentral:rRNA from 1 species
UACGUAGGGGGCAAGCGUUGUCCGGAUUAUUGGGCGUAAAGAGCGUGUAGGCGGCCAAACAGGUCAGCUGUGAAAACUCGAGGCUCAACCUCGAGACGUCGGUUGAAACCGUUUGGCUAGAGUCCGGAAGAGGAGAGUGGAAUUCCCGGUGUAGCGGUGAAAUGCGCAGAUAUCGGGAAGAACACCCGUGGCGAAGGCGGCUCUCUGGGACGGUACUGGACGCUGAGACGCGAAAAGCGUGGGGAGCGAACAGG